rnacentral:lncRNA from 1 species
GAAAAGGCUAGUGUCAUCACCACCGGAAUAUACCACAACUGCGAUCACAUCUAUACUACCGACGGCACUACAGUCGUUGCCAUACCCGACGGGCUCGGCGGCAGUUACCGACGAUGGCAAGCUGCUAGGUAAGAUCUAAGACCGUUGACACCGCCGAAGAAGUCGUUUUCCGGUUCCGUGGCUGUUGAGUUAAGUGAUGCGAUUUAUCACUAUGAGAGUACUGUUGAUGAGAGUACUGUUGCGGAUGAAGACGAGAAACAAUCUGCAAUGGUUUGUCGAUUUUUUACCUGUUUUGGUAUUUAGGGGGAGUAGAUGUAUAUAGUUUAUUUUCAGGAAAUACAAAAACAGUAAAAAAAUGAAAAAAUACCAAAAACAAUAUAAAUUCUGAAAAAGAGCUUGUGUAUAAAGGGAAAAUGAUAGUACAUCGGCUGGACAAUUACAGUAUGCUAAAGAAUUGUAAAGUCUAAAUGAGUUAAACAGUCUCACUAAUGAUGUGUCGAUAGGUUUUCGCACAUUUAGUAGAUUUAUUCGGGAUAUAAACCUAAAAUUUCAAACUUGUGAAAUUCGUGGGGAACACUACUUGGAUAUAUAGGUAACCCCUGAAAUCUCGUUUGAAAGGUCCCAUAUUCUGAGAUACUAGGUCUUUAUACUCAGUGAUAUCUGGGGUAUUAUUCCGGGACUUCUGCUGUAUGGAAGUACUGACCUAGUCCCCGAAUAAUACUUUCUGCUAAUGCUUGAAACACAGCAUCGCCCUCAGCAACCUGAUGAAACAAUAAAAUCGAUAGUCGUUGCUAUUGUAAUUAAAAGAUCCUCUAAAGGGGACAUUCCAGAAAGACGAAGCCGUCAUCUCUCUGCCUAUACGGAAGUAUCGACCUGAGCUCUCACGGCCCUCGCAUUUAACCCCUUACAGAUAUCAUUUGUGGUAUACUCACCUGUAAGACUGAAUAUCUGGGAUUCUGGAUACGGGAGUAUAUUCAAGAGGUGGGACACAUGAAUGAGCUAAGUUCAUAAGUCAUCUAAAUCGUAUCCUGAAUAGAUUGAAAUCUGUGUGAGAAUUUAAGAUGGACCAGUAUAUCGACAAUCGAGGUGAAUUGUUUAAGUCUGAGUAUGAAAUGAAGCUUAACGGUACUAGUAUUUUGUCUGAAAAGCUGAUAUGAUCCCCUGACACGCUCGCCAAAAAUAAGAUGCAGGAAAGUUCUGAGCUGAAGAAUGAGGAGAGCUUACUUUGUUUUUGGACUUCAUUAUUCCCAACGAAAGCUAAAUGUCAAAGCUUGAACCAGAUUUCUCAGAUUCUAGCAUAUCGAGAGGGGGAAAUUGUGAAAGGGGGAGUCUGGAUCAACAGUUCAUAUGGGAGUUUGAAGAUAGAGCGAGGUUGUGAUCCUAAACCUGUGAAGAUAGAGUGCUUAUGUUGUGAAGACAGAGAGUUGGAGAAAAGACCAAGACUGAAGACUCGGAGCUGAAGACUUCUUCAACAUCCAAGGGGGAGUCUUUGAUGCAUGAAAUGUCUGUUGACUACGUCUACAUUACGUCUUAGGUCAAGAUAGGUCAACAUAGGAGCUAGAAUGUCAAAAUUAGGUUUUAUGUUGAUAGUUUCGCUUUUAUGUACAUACUUAGUUGAGGUUCCGCUUAUUAGUCAAUAUAGGGUUUCGCUUAUAAGGUUAGUGGAGGUUUCGCUCAUUUGUCAGUCCAUAAGAGCGAAACCAUAGGGGCUAUAAAUAGGCCUCAUAAGCGAAACCUGGUCAUUCAUUGGUGUACAUUGGAGCGAAACUCUGUCAUUGUUGCUGUAACAAAACGCUGUCAAAUUUACUUCAGAAAGCAAUAAAAGAGAAGAAAUUG